rnacentral:ncRNA from 1 species
UCGUACGUGGGAGGCUGUGACGCGCGGCCCAUGCAAUGGGCGCCCGGACCGCGCCGAGCCACUGGCGAGACCGGCCUGCGCGA